rnacentral:rRNA from 1 species
GACGAACGCUAGCGGCGUGCUUAACACAUGCAAGUCGAGCGGUAAGGCCCUUCGGGGUACACGAGCGGCGAACGGGUGAGUAACACGUGGGUGAUCUGCCUCGCACUCUGGGAUAAGCCUGGGAAACUGGGUCUAAUACCGGAUACGACCAGGGACUGCAUGGUCUUUGGUGGAAAGGUUUACUGGUGCGAGAUGGGCCCGCGGCCUAUCAGCUUGUUGGUGGGGUAAUGGCCUACCAAGGCGACGACGGGUAGCCGACCUGAGAGGGUGACCGGCCACACUGGGACUGAGACACGGCCCAGACUCCUACGGGAGGCAGCAGUGGGGAAUAUUGCACAAUGGGCGAAAGCCUGAUGCAGCGACGCCGCGUGAGGGAUGACGGCCUUCGGGUUGUAAACCUCUUUUGACAGGGAAGAAGCGCAAGUGACGGUACCUGUAGAAUAAGCACCGGCCAACUACGUGCCAGCAGCCGCAGUAACAC